CCCUUAGAUGUUCUGGACCGCACGCGCGCUACACUGACGAAUGCAACGAGCUUAUAACCUUGGCCGAAAGGUCUGGGUAAUCUCCAAAUUUCGUCGUGAUGGGGAUAGAUUAUUGCAAUUAUUAAUCUUCAACGAGGAAUGCCUAGUAAGCGCAAGUCAUCAGCUUGCGUUGAUUACGUCCCUGCCCUUUGUACACACCGCCCGUCGCUCCUACCGAUUGAAUGGUCCGGUGAAGCGCUCGGACCGCGGCCUCUUGACGGUUCGCUGUCGAUUGGCUGUGGGAAGUUCGUUAAACCUUAUCAUUUAGAGGAAGGAGAAGUCGUAACA
rnacentral:rRNA from 1 species